UACGUAGGUGGCAAGCGUUGUCCGGAAUUAUUGGGCGUAAAGCGCGCGCAGGCGGUCCUUUAAGUCUGAUGUGAAAGCCCACGGCUCAACCGUGGAGGGUCAUUGGAAACUGGGGGACUUGAGUGCAGAAGAGGAGAGCGGAAAUCCACGUGUAGCGGUGAAAUGCGUAGAGAUGUGGAGGAACACCAGUGGCGAAGGCGGCUCUCUGGUCUGUAACUGACGCUGAGGCGAGAAAGCGUGGGGAGCAAACAGG
rnacentral:rRNA from 1 species